rnacentral:rRNA from 1 species
AGAGUUUGAUCCUGGCUCAGGACGAACGCUGGCGGCGUGCUUAAUACAUGCAAGUCAACUGAAUCUGAAGUAGCAAUAUUUCAGAGGAGGUGGCGCACGGGUGAGUAACACGUAGGUAAUCUGCCUUUAGGUCUGACAUAAUUCCGCGAAAGCGGGACUAAUAUCAGAUGAUGCAGCGGCUCGACAUCGAGACAGUUGUUAAACCUUCGGGGCCUGAAGAUGAGCCUGCGCCUGAUUAGGUAGUUGGCGGAGUAAAAGCCCACCAAGCCUGCGAUCAGUAGCUGGUCUGAGAGGAUGAUCAGCCACACUGGAACUGAGACACGGUCCAGACUCCUACGGGAGGCAGCAGUAAGGAAUAUUGCUCAAUGGGAGAAAUCCUGAAGCAGCAACGCCGCGUGGAGGAUGAAAUACUUUUGUAUGUAAACUCCUGUAAGAAGGGAAAAAUAUGCAAUUUUUAUUGCGUUGAUUGUACCUUCAGAGUAAGCCCCGGCUAACUACGUGCCAGCAGCCGCGGUAAUUC